rnacentral:tRNA from 1 species
GCCUCGGUAGCUUAGCCUGGUCGAGCGGCUGAUUUGUAAUCAGCAGGUCGAGGGUUCAAAUCCCUCCCGAGGCU